GACGAACCGAGCGAACGUUGUUCGGAAUCACUGGGCUUAAAGGGCGCGUAGGCGGGCUGUCAAGUCUGGGGUGAAAUCCCACGGCUCAACCGUGGAACUGCCUCAGAUACUGACGGUCUCGAGGGAGGUAGGGGCGAGCGGAACUGAUGGUGGAGCGGUGAAAUGCGUUGAUAUCAUCAGGAACUCCGGUGGCGAAGGCGGCUCGCUGGACCUUUGCUGACGCUGAGGCGCGAAAGCUAGGGGAGCAAACGGG
rnacentral:rRNA from 1 species